GUGGAAUGCUGCUGUCCUUUCACUCAUUUGUGCUGGUCAUGUGUCUCCUCUUUUAUAACUGUUGGACCCCAGUCCACCUGUUUGUUAAAGAGACUGUCAGUUGCAGAGGUGAUGCAGGAAUUCACUUUGUACUGGUUGUCUGGUCACUGUUUCACCUUGAAGACACAAAUUGUACUUCCUGUCACAGAUGCUUUUGAGAACACCAUUUUGGCCCAGACUAAAUGUAAUGCCGGUCCCACCACAAGAUCCGUACCUAGAUCUGCUUCACAGACAGGUUGGCCCAGCAGACAAAUGCCUUCUCUAGACACAUUUGAAGAUUUUGAAGCCAUCCCUUCCAGCAUGGAUGAACUCUCCAACUCUUCUGAUUUGGAGGAAGAGACCAACCCUAACAAUGGGAGCAAUCUCUUCCGGGUCGAAGGCAGUUUUGACAGCUGUUUCCCAGAUUCUCUUUCUCUCGAGGAUGGAGAUUUAGUGCAGUUUGUGCAGGAAGGAGAGAAUGGUCAAUGGUUAGUGAAGAAAUUGGUCUCUGAGAAAAGCGACUGGGUUCCCUCCAGCAUAUUGCAGCCAGCAGAGGGGGACAGUAACAACAUAAUUAAGAGCAGCAAUGCAGACACGUACAACGAUUCCUGCAGCACAGCCUCAGCAGAGUCGGACACGAAGGAAAGUGAGGUGGCCAAAAGCUUCCCAGCAGAACAGAGGGCUGGCAGCUGAACAGCAGGACCAGCCUUCCUCAGGACCUCGUCCACCUGUCUUUAUCUUGGGUGGACAUGGGAUCAAAGUUGCCUUUCUCACAAGCUCUGAGGUUCAUAAUUCACUAAAAUUUUGUCAACAUGAACAGAUGAGAACUGUGCUGUCCACCUGGCAAGCUGGGAAAAACAAACUUGAAAGGAGCAUUAAACAUCCAGAAAACAUCAAACCUAUCUUCAGUAUUAGAGGAGAAAAAUGCUUCUUGCAUUGAUUAUCAAACUGUUUCAGAAGAUGUGGCCUAAAUUAGGUCGACAGCAGAGCUGAAGAGUCUCUAUGCACGCACCUUUUGGCAACUUUGCUUGAGCACCACAUCACUGCAGAGGGGCACGUGGUGGUUACGAGUCCUUGCUCCACCCUGGGGUCACCUGGAGGUUUUUCCAUUUGCUUGCCUCUGGCUGUGCCUUCCCUGUCCUCCUUAAUUCCAGCUGAUACAUCAUCACAAAUGUGCCCUUUUUGCUGUCAGUCAACACCAAAAACACACCACUUGAGGGUGGCUGUGGAAAGGAGACUUCUGGCUGGGACCAUGAGAGAGGCUCCGUGCAGCAGUGCCAUGGCCCAGGAAGGCCCUGCUGCACACAGCAUUCCACACCUGGCAUGCUGCAGGUGGCAGCUCCUGCCUGGGAGGCGCAGGGCUAAGCAGGGAAGUAAAGACAUGUAACAGCUACUGUGACAAAGAACACUCUGAACUCUUUUUACAGUCUGAGUCAUUCCUCUGCCCCCUCUACAGUCUCUGGUUGCUGGAUCAGAACCCUUUGCAUUUGGUGCCGAGAAUUCAGUUGAAUGCCAUUUACUGUCACAUGUUCGAGUAGACUGCAUGCUUUCCUUGUGUGCUGGGCUAUGAGUAGAUACAUUUCACCCCCAUUUGGAAUAUACUUAAGCAUUGCAAAUAGGCAGUGAGCAUUAGAUGCUCCAAUGAGUGGAUAAAGUGUUGUUGUUAAAUACUUCUUUCCAGGAUGUUUGAUGAAAGGACUGUACCAAAUCUCUGCCACAUAAGGAUGUAAUGUAUAAUAUAAAGUGAUUACAGAUGUUAUGAUUCCUAUAGAAGCCAUUAGCUCAUUUAGAGCAGCUGUUAAGGCAUGAAGGCAUUUUGAUGGUAAUUGGGUCUUAGGUCCCACAAAAGCUGCUAGAACUGGUAAAUACUACUAGUAAAGAUAAAUAGCUAAACUAGCUACUUAAACUAGCUGCUAGUAAAGAUAAAUAUUGACUGAGAGCUGCGAACAGGCAAAGAUCAGUCUGGUAAAAAUGAGCCCAGAAGAAGCUCAAGAGUGAAUGAAUGGCUUUCACUCUAAGGGAUGUUUUGUUUAACCCUCGGACUAGUGGUGCUUUAUGUAAAUAAAAAAGGGCACUAAAAGCACUAGAAAUGGAGAUGAAGCAAACCAAAACCCACUCUACUAAGUGAGCCUGUGAGCAAAGCAGUGGGUGUGUGUGUCAUUUCUGCUCUCACCUUCCCAGGGACUCGAAUGUUUUCCUUUGUGUCUCAGUGGAGGCUGGUGUUGCAAGUACCUUAGUGUGGGAGUCAGGAUAGCUGUGGAGCAGGCAGGUAGUCCUGUUUGAGAAAAAGCCUUGGAACAGCUAAAGGGUUAGUCAGAUUUUUUUUUGCCUGUGAAGAGUUACUGCUUGAUUAUAAGUUGCAAUGUGGUGAUCGAAUCCCAUGGCUUUUCUAACCCUCCAUAUCUAAACUCUGUGAUUUUUGACAUUUUCUGUUCAGGACUAAAGGACCUUUCUGGAAGUUUUUUUUGUUCUAUACAGGUAGGAGCUUGCCUGUUUGUGUUGGUCAUUUACCUCAAAAUUGACAUGUAGGCUCUCAGGAACACAAAUCCUCUUGGUCUACUGUGGUUAUCAGCAUCUUGCAGGAAGAAUUGAUUCCUUUCAGUCCCCUAAGGAAAAAUGCAGUGACAUUUUCUUAUAGUGCAAUUACUUUAUCCUCUCUCUAAAAUGAAUUCAUUCUGGUUUCUCUAUUACUUUCAGUAAAUUUUGCACAGGGACAGUGCUGCUGUUUACCCCUGCCCUAAGCAUAGGAGAGGGAAGGGCUAGGGAGCUUUGUUUGCACAUUAUGAGUAUAGUAACCUUUUGUGUGUGGGAGAGAGAGAUAGGCAAGGGUUACCCUGAGUGUAUGAAACUGCCAAAUUGAAGAUUUGUGACAUUGCAGAUGGAUGGAAAGACAAAGGAGCAACCUUCUGGCUUUGCUGAUGAGACAAAAUUGGGUUUGAUGACUUUUUGAGUUUUUUAAAUAGUACGCAGGACAGUCUUUUAAUUAGUGUAUUUCUGUCAAGCAAAGUGAUAAUUAAGGGAAUGACUCUCCGUGUUCAGUCUAGAAGAUGAUUUGGUAAAGUCCAGCAACCCUAAUGUGUGUUAGGGUAUGCCUAUUCUGUCUGUAGGUCUUUGACACCAUCCUAUUCAGGGAGAUGGACCUAAAAAUCAUAGUUUUCAAAUAAGGAUUUCAUUUCAGUGUUGUUUGGAGAUGCUCUAGUGACCAUUUAGAAGUCAUUUAAAGGUAAUGGUUGUGACUAAGAUUUGGCUGUAGAAGACACCAGAUCCCAGGUAAAUCUGUGCUGCAGCAGCCCUUGCUGCUGGCCCCGUGCCUGGCUCUGCUCCUGGGCCUGGGCUGGCCACACCUGCCCUCCAGGCUGAGGGUUUGCCUGGGCUCUCUUCUCUUUGCUCUGCUGCUCUUCUGUGAAACUUCAGAAACUUCACAUCCUCAGAACUGCCCUCGAAAGUGCCCACUCAGGUGCAGGUGGGCUGCAGAGUCCUUCCCUGGCACCAAUGGUGAACAGAGGGCAGUUGCACGACACACAAGUCUUGCUUUUAGUAAACCAGGCUAGAAUAGAAUCAGGCCUGAUCCUCUCUUCUCACCUGGAACCCCACCAGGUGGAGAACCAGACCAGUGCUCGUUGUCUUGAACACAAUCAGCUGCAGCCAAACCACUUCUGAGCUCUGGCUUUCCUCACCAAUGACAGCAAAGCUCUGUGUGUGUCAUGUUCUGGUCGUGUGUGUGAUGAGAAGCCAUUUUAUUAUCUAUGAUUUUCUUAGAGUCUUGAUAUUUCAAACAGGAUUGGGUAUGAGAAAGGCCAUGUGCUUCCUUUCCAAAAAUACUCAAAGACUUCAAAUAUAUAUAUGUGUGAUUAGAAAUAUAUAAGAAUAAUAAGAAAAAAGAUCCAAAAUAUGUAUUUCUUCUUGCAGCUGGACUGAAAUAGCUGCUAAGAUUUCCUCUCCCCAGCUGAGAAUUGGUACAGUUUGUUUUCUUACAUGAUUUCCAUGGUGUUGAUAAUGAUGUAUUUGUAUAUUGUGAUCACAGAAUUACCUGUCCUUUUUUCCAGUCAACACAGAAUGUAUGAAUUUAUUACAAGAAAAAAAGUGUGCAAAUGAACUUCCUGUAAUUAGGCCAUUCUGACCUGUGUAGAACCACACUUUGUUUGAAAUUUAUAAAAAUUAUAACUAGUACAAAACCUUGUGGUUGAUGUCUCUAUAUGAAGCAACAAGUAAAAUGACAUUUUUUUCUAUUUGAAAUACAUGAAUUAUCAGUAAAGGAACAUUAUCAGAGCUGAAAAAAUUGACAUAUUUGUCCAAUAUAAGUUUAAUUUGUCCAACACAUGUAUCAAAAGGCAGAAUAGGGUUUUUUCCAUUACCUAUCUCCCUUAGUCGUGUUCUGAAUCACUGGGAACCUGUGCAAAGGUUCACACAGACAGAGAAAGUCAUAGAUGAAUUUAUAAUAGUUACUCCUG
rnacentral:lncRNA from 1 species